UACGUAGGGGGCAAGCGUUGUCCGGAUUUAUUGGGCGUAAAGAGCGUGUAGGCGGCUUCACAGGUCUGCUGUGAAAACUCGAGGCUCAACCUCGAGAUGUCGGUGGAAACCGUGUGGCUAGAGUCCGGAAGAGGAGAGUGGAAUUCCCGGUGUAGCGGUGAAAUGCGCAGAUAUCGGGAAGAACACCCGUGGCGAAGGCGGCUCUCUGGGACGGUACUGGACGCUGAGACGCGAAAAGCGUGGGGAGCGAACAGG
rnacentral:rRNA from 1 species